UAUAUGAACUUGAAUUUCUACCUCUUUUAUAUGACGAGAGGUUAGCGGGAAAGUGCGGAUUUUUUCUCGCUCCCUCAUGGAAGCUUUCCGAAAGCUUGAGAAAAUUGGAGAAGGAACAUACGGCGUUGUCUAUAAAGCAAAAGAUAUCGAAACAGGACAAACGGUCGCUUUGAAAAAGAUUCGGUUAGAUGCGGAAUCUGAUGGAGUUCCAAGCACAGCAAUAAGGGAAAUUUCUUUACUCAAAGAACUAAAUCACCCAAAUGUGGUGAGAUUGUUGGAUGUGGUUCCCAGUGAAAAGAAGCUCUUCAUGGUGUUUGAGUUCCUUGAUAGAGACCUUAAAAAAUACAUGGACUCAGUACCUGCCGGUGGAAUUUCACUACCUUUAGUCAAGAGCUACCUCUAUCAGUUGUUAAGUGGUAUUGCAUUCUGUCACUCACACCGAAUCCUACACAGAGAUCUAAAGCCACAGAAUCUUCUUAUAGACGCUCAUGGAUCCAUAAAGCUGGCAGAUUUUGGUCUUGCUAGAGCUUUUGGAGUACCAGUUAGAUCUUAUACACAUGAAGUAGUAACCCUGUGGUAUAGGGCACCUGAAAUUCUCUUGGGUUGCCGUUAUUACUCCACCCCCGUAGAUGUGUGGAGUAUUGGAUGUAUAUUUGCCGAAAUGAUAACCAGAAGAGCUCUUUUCCCUGGAGACUCAGAAAUUGAUCAGCUAUAUCGAAUUUUUAGAACAUUAGGAACUCCAGAUGAGAGACUAUGGCCAGGAGUGUCUGAGCUCCCUGAUUAUAAAACAUCUUUUCCCAAAUGGCCUGUGCAAAAUCUUCUCCAAGUUAUUCCUGCUUUAGGUCAAUCAGGUGCUGAUUUAUUACAGCAAAUGCUUAAAUAUGAACCAACAAGUCGCAUAUCAGCCAGGAAUGCUCUAAGUCAUCCUUUCUUUAGUGAUGUAAGAAGAAGUGCACCAAAAUCAUGAACCACUUUCAAGGUUCUCCAUCCUCCCCACUUCCAUAACUAGAGGAUGACAGAAUAACUAUUUAUAACUAAAAAAGUGUUUAUAAAUGUCACACAAACUUGUUCCUGGAGCUCAAUACUCAUGGAACUCACCCAAACAGCAUGGUGGCCAUAGUUUUGUGCUAUUUCAGAUAAGGCACUUUUCUUCUACUCUCAUUACAAUAUGGUCACAAGAACAUCAUUUUAAAAACUGCAGUAGAAAUGCAGUUUCCAUACUUCUUUCUUUACAAGAUGAAUUAGAAUUAUUGCAAAGAAAUGGCUUAGAGUCAGCUAUAUUUUAAAGCCACUUCAAAUGCUGGUGCUUUUAAAUUUACUAUUUUGUGGAAUUUCUGGUCAUUAGCUUUACAUUACUCAUUGUAAAUACUUGUACUUGUGUGCCUGUUGUACUGUAGAUACAUGAUACCUUAAGAUGAAAUGCACUAACAGGAGUGCAAAUAUUUGAAAGAAAAUUGUACAUGUAUGACAACAGAAAUAAUACAUUAUAUAAUUCAAAAAUAAAUAUUUCAAAAUAUAUAAUGUUCAGUUUUUUUCAAACACAAACUUGUGGUCUCUGAAAUAUUUGCUUCUGAGCACUUGACAGUAUUUGUUCCAAAUGACUCCAAGAAUCAGCAUCCAUCCCACUCAAGGCAAGAGUCUUGAAUAAAAUAUACAAAUGCUAGCCAAAAAGUUAUUUUAUUUAAAAACUCUAAAUAUAUUACUGACACGGACAAUUUUUGCAAGUCCUAUACAAUUCUCCACAUAAAAAUAAGCCAUUAACAGAUCUGAAUCUCCUAAAUACUCUCAGUGCUGGCAAUGACUCUAGAUCUCUCAAAACAACCAAGAUUUACUGCAAUCAAGAUCACAAUAGGUAUAUAAAUGUAAUGAAAACUUAACCUUUUCUUUUUUUCUUUUUAAUAAAAGCUAACACGAACAAGAAUUUUGACUGGGAAGGGCAAACUAUCAAACAAAUAAAAAGAAAUACCUUGAUCAAGACAGGUGUUCUUUAGCAAAGAUGUGCAAAUAGUAAAAUACCAAAAGAAGAACAUUCUUUAAUUAAUACCACAAACAAAAAAAACCACAGCCAGAUUAUAACGGCAUUAAUGGCUAAAUAAACAUUCUAGAAAUGUUCCACAGUCUUUUUGUGAUGAGAAUCACAAAUUUAACCAAUAAACCAGAAACAAGAAAUGAGCCACAGUCCAUAAAAUCAGACUGAUGUUACAAAUACUGUCUUGUAUUGCCUUGUUUUCCUCCAAAAAAGGAUUUGGUCACACCUUGUGCUAACACUACUUGCAGUUACAUAUUUCCUUGCAAAAAACCAAGGGAAUUCUACAGAAAAUACAAAAUUAGUUGACAAUAUUGAAAUAUGGUUACAAUGAACUAUCACAGUAGCCGAGUGUAUACUAUAUACACAUGGCAUCUUAUAAUAGCUUUUAAUUACUUUUGAAUUUGAAAUUUGAAGUGCAAAUAAAUACAUUGCAAAGGGUGUUUGACAAGAUACCAGAGAAUGUCAUGUGCAAUCAAACAUUUUAAUGGAAUUUUAUUUCAUGAAUCUGUUCAUUAUGGCAAACAAUGUUUAUUGAGGACAAACUUUGUGAAGAGAGAGAAAUUGUCCACAAUUGCUCUAAAAGCAAAAUCCCACAUAGCUCUUAAGAUGAAAUUAAAUAUACACAUGAAUGUUUCUGUACAUACUCCAUUAACUGCCACACCAUAAUUUUUUUUUGUGACUUAGUGCAGAACUUAUUCAGGGGCUGUGCUGAAUUGAGGGCCUUGCCUGACUAAAUGUCCUCAUAUUUCUUAAAAUGAAUAAGAGUAAAAUAGGAAAAUAUCC
rnacentral:misc_RNA from 1 species